UACGUAGGCGGAAAAUUAAGUCAGUAGUGAAAUCCUGGAGCUUAACUGUAGAACUGUUAUUGAUACUGGUUUUCUUGAAUAUAGUUGAAGUAGGCGGAAUGUGUAAUGUAGCGGUGAAAUGCUUAGAUAUUACACAGAACACCGAUUGCGAAGGCAGCUUACUAAGCUAUGAUUGACGCUGAGGUACGAAAGCGUGGGGAGCGAACAGGAUUAGAUACCCUGGUAGUCC
rnacentral:rRNA from 1 species